rnacentral:lncRNA from 1 species
CCGUCCUGUCCGGCCCCGUCCCGCCGCCCGCCCGCCAGCCAUGAGCUCCACGCAGUUCAACAAGGGUCCCUCGUACGGGCUGUCGGCCGAGGUCAAGAACCGGGGGUAGUUGGGUCUGACUUCGUCCCCUCGCCAUGGCCCCAGGACCCCCACGUGUGAAGCCCCUGGCGCCCACUCAACCUUCGAGAAGGUCCGUUCAAGGUCCGAC